AUCUGCCGUGGGCGUUGGAAGAUUGAGAGGGGCUGCUCCUAGUACGAGAGGACCGUAGUGGACGCAUCACUGGUGUUCGGGUUGUCAUGCCAAUGGCAUUGCCCGGUAGCUAAAUGCGGAAAAGAUAAGCGCUGAAAGCAUCUAAGCGCGAAACUUGCCUCGAGAUGAGUCUUCCCUGUGGCUUUAAGCCACCUGAAGGGACGUUUAAGACUAAGACGUUGAUAGGCUGGGUGUGUAAGUGCAGCGAUGCAUUGAGCUAACCAGUACUAAUGACCCGAGAGGCUUAACCUU
rnacentral:rRNA from 1 species